rnacentral:rRNA from 1 species
UACGAAGGGAGCUAGCGUUGUUCGGAAUCACUGGGCGUAAAGCGCACGUAGGCGGAUGUGUCAGUCAGGGGUGAAAUCCCGGAGCUCAACUUCGGAACCGCCUUUGAUACAGCACGUCUUGAGUCCGAUAGAGGUGGGUGGAAUUCCUAGUGUAGAGGUGAAAUUCGUAGAUAUUAGGAAGAACACCGGUGGCGAAGGCGGCCCACUGGAUCGGUACUGACGCUGAGGUGCGAAAGCGUGGGGAGCAAACAGG